AUCUCAUAAGGCUAAAUACUCUUACUAACCGAUAGCGCAUAGUACCGUGAGGGAAAGGUGAAAAGAACCCCUGGAGGGGAGUGAAAUAGAACCUGAAAUUGUGUGCUUACAAGCGGUCAGAGCCAGUAAUGGUGAUGGCGUGCCUUUUGGAGAAUGAUCCUGCGAGUUACGUUAAACGGCGAGGUUAAGUAUAACGGAGCCGAAGGGAAACCAAGUCUUAAUAGGGCGAUUUAGUCGUUUGGCGUAGACGCGAAACCUGGUGAUCUAAACCUGUCCAGGAUGAAGCUGUGGUAAGACACAGUGGAGGUCCUAACCCACCGCCGUUGAAAAGUUGGGGGAUGAGGUAGGUUUAGGGGUGAAAAGCCAAUCGAACCAGGAGAUAGCUCGUUCUCUCCGAAAUGCAUCUAGGUGCAGCCUUGAGUGUUCAAUUAUGGGGGUAGAGCACUGAAUGAUCUAGGGGGCGUAUUGCUUACUGAAAUCAAUCAAACUCCGAAUACCAUAAUUUAGAGCUCAGGAGUGAGACUAUGGGAGUUAACUUCCAUUGUCGAAAGGGAAACAACCCAGACCACCAGCUAAGGUCCCUAAUUAUAACUAAGUGGGAAAGGAGGUGGAGAUUCACAAACAACUAGGAGGUUGGCUUAGAAGCAGCCAUACCUUUAAAGAGUGCGUAAUAGCUCACUAGUCGAGAGUCUCUGCGCCGACAAUGUAACGGGGCUAAGUUAUAAACCGAAGCUGUGGAAUCCGUAAGGAUUGGUAGGAGAGCGUUCUGUAGGCCGUUGAAGGAGAAGGGUAACCGACUCUGGAGGUAUCAGAAGUGAGAAUGCAGGAAUAAGUAGCGAGAAAGGGGGCGAGAAUCCCCCUCGCCGGAAGACCAAGGUUUUCAGGGUAAAGCUUGUCUUCCCUGAGUAAGCCGGGACCUAAGCCCAGGCUAUAAUGCGUAGGCGAAUGGAAAACAGAUUAAUAUUUCUGUGCCAGUCAUAAGGCGGACAGGCUAACUCUCGUUAAGGAACUCUGCAAAAUAACCUCGUAACUUCGGGAGAAGAGGAGCCCUUGAGGGUGAGUAUCCACGCGAUACAAAGCGCUCGAGGGUCGCAGUGAAGAGGCUCAAGCAACUGUUUAACAAAAACACAGGUCUAUGCUAAGCUGGAAGGCGAUGUAUAUGGGCUGACACCUGCCCAGUGCUGGAAGGUUAAGAGGAGGAGUGAGAGCUCCGAAUUGAAGCCCCAGUGAACGGCGGCCGUAACUAUAACGGUCCUAAGGUAGCGAAAUUCCUUGUCGGGUAAGUUCCGACCUGCACGAAUGGUGUAAUGAUUUGAGCGCUGUCUUGACGGGAGGCCUGGUGAAAUUGUAUUACCGGUGAAGAUACCGGUUACCUACAGUAGGACGGAAAGACCCCAUGGAGCUUUACUGUAGCUUGGUAUUGGGUUUUGGCAUUGCAUGUAUAGGAUAGUUGGGAGACUGAGAUGAUAUGGCGCUAGCUGUAUCGGAGUCAUCGGUGGAAUACCAACCAUUCAAUGCUGAAAUUCUAAUCUGUGGUUUGUAGCCACGGAGACAGUGCUAGGUGGGCAGUUUGACUGGGGCGGUCGCCUCCGAAAGAGUAACGGAGGCGUUCAAAGGUUCUCUCAGGUUGGAUGGAAAUCAACCAUAGAGUGCAAUGGCAUAAGAGAGCUUGACUGCAAGACUGACGGGUCGAGCAGAUGCGAAAGCAGGACAUAGUGAUCCGGCGAUUCCGAAUGGAAGGGUCGUCGCUCAACGGAUAAAAGCUACCCUGGGGAUAACAGGCUGAUCCUACCCGAGAGUCCAUAUCGACGGUAGGGUUUGGCACCUCGAUGUCGGCUCAUCGCAUCCUGGGGCUGGAGAAGGUCCCAAGGGUUGGGCUGUUCGCCCAUUAAAGCGGUACGUGAGCUGGGUUCAGAACGUCGUGAGACAGUUCGGUCCCUAUCCACUGUAGGCGUUAGAAUAUUGAGAAGACCUGUCCUUAGUACGAGAGGACCGGGAUGGACAAACCUCUGAUGUACCAGUUGUCACGCCAGUGGCACAGCUGGGUAGUCACGUUUGGAAUAGAUAACCGCUGAAAGCAUCUAAGCGGGAAACUAACUUCAAGAUAAGUAUUCUUUAAGAUACCUU
rnacentral:rRNA from 1 species